GACGAACGCUGGCGGCGUGCCUAAUACAUGCAAGUAGAACGCUGAAGGAGGAGCUUGCUUCUCCGGAUGAGUUGCGAACGGGUGAGUAACGCGUAGGUAACCUGCCUGGUAGCGGGGGAUAACUAUUGGAAACGAUAGCUAAUACCGCAUAACAGUAGAUGUCGCAUGACAUUUGCUUAAAAGGUGCAAUUGCAUCACUACCAGAUGGACCUGCGUUGUAUUAGCUAGUUGGUGAGGUAACGGCUCACCAAGGCGACGAUACAUAGCCGACCUGAGAGGGUGAUCGGCCACACUGGGACUGAGACACGGCCCAGACUCCUACGGGAGGCAGCAGUAGGGAAUCUUCGGCAAUGGACGGAAGUCUGACCGAGCAACGCCGCGUGAGUGAAGAAGGUUUUCGGAUCGUAAAGCUCUGUUGUAAGAGAAGAACGAGUGUGAGAGUGGAAAGUUCACACUGUGACGGUAUCUUACCAGAAAGGGACGGCUAACUACGUG
rnacentral:rRNA from 1 species